GAUGAACGCUGGCGGUAGGCCUAACACAUGCAAGUCGAACGGCAGCACAGAGGAGCUUGCUCCUUGGGUGGCGAGUGGCGGACGGGUGAGGAAUACAUCGGAAUCUACUCUGUCGUGGGGGAUAACGUAGGGAAACUUACGCUAAUACCGCAUACGACCUACGGGUGAAAGCAGGGGAUCUUCGGACCUUGCGCGAUUGAAUGAGCCGAUGUCGGAUUAGCUAGUUGGCGGGGUAAAGGCCCACCAAGGCGACGAUCCGUAGCUGGUCUGAGAGGAUGAUCAGCCACACUGGAACUGAGACACGGUCCAGACUCCUACGGGAGGCAGCAGUGGGGAAUAUUGGACAAUGGGCGCAAGCCUGAUCCGGCCAUACCGCGUGGGUGAAGAAGGCCUUCGGGUUGUAAAGCCCUUUUGUUGGGAAAGAAAUCCAUCUGGUUAAUACCCGGGUGGGAUGACGGUACCCAAAGAAUAAGCACCGGCUAACUUCGUGCCAGCCGCCGCCGUAA
rnacentral:rRNA from 1 species